rnacentral:lncRNA from 1 species
AUGACAACAGUGACUGAUAAAAGUGCCUCUCCCACCACCAGUAGUCCCUUGAUUACAACCACUACUUCAUUUCCAAACAAGGUCAGUACAUUUAAAACAACUACAGCCACCACGCAUGCACCUUCCUCAACUGAUAUAGUAGCAACACAUAUGGCACCAGUUAUACAGGCUGCUCCUGAAGCUACCACUGCACUAAGUGCACCAAAAGCAACUCCUUCACAUGCAAUGAGCUCUGUGAAAACGACACUUAUUUCAAUGACUGACAUUCCCAGAGAAAUUCUCACCACAGGAAUUGCUUCUAUUUCUUCAAACAUGUCUUCUAUCAUUCCCACAGACACAAUGAUUUCUACCACACGGACCGCGUCCAAAGCAAGCCCUGUGCCAGCCAACACUGAUGCAUACACGACAUCCACUACCAAGGGAUAUCCCUCCACCACUGCAGCCACCACAGAAACAGGCAAGAUGAGGGGUACAGCCGCUCAAGCUUCAUCCACUUGGGAAACCACAUUUAUCCCCACCACUGACACGUCCAAAGAGCCUCUCACAACAGCAAUCACUGCCACUCCACCAAUCAUAUCAGACACUCCCACAAUUAAAAUCCAUAAUCUGACGUCCAUUACAACUAGGUCAAUGACCACCAAUGCCUUGACAUCAAAUGUGAGGAUGCCUCACUCAUCGGUACUUGCAACAACCAAAGAAACAGUCCCCUCAUGGACCUCAAACAUUAAGCCUCUGUCCACCCUAAUGACCACAACCCCAAUCACCCAUGCCACAUCCACCUCUUCAUCACUAACAAGAAACGCCAAAGCCACAAGUAUGCCUACCACUAGGUCACUCAAAAUCAGAAUAAAACGUGCAUCCACAUAUACUUACAGGAGGAUAACAGAAAUACCACGAAUUAAAACGACAUCCCACGCCACGAUAUACAAAACACAAAAUAUAUACACUACCACGAGAAAAAAUGAUAUCAGUCCAAAAAUAACAGUCAAAACCACAAGCCAGGAGAAAUAUGGAAAUCCGUCAGAAGCGGAUAAAUCCAAAUAUAAAACCCAAACGGUCUCACCCAAAAAUAUGACAAUAGAAAAAACCACAAAUACAAAAGAUAGCUACACUUUAAGAAAAACACAAAGUAUUGUAAAUACCAAAAAUCCAAAUAUUCUGACAGAAAUACAAAAUCUAACAAAGAAAAUCUAUUAUUCUCUAACAAAAAACAAAACAGAAACUAUAACAGAACUACACACAACCAUAUACAAAACCACGAGGGAAGCCAAAACACUCAGGGUCACCACGGCCGCCCCGGGCACUCCACACAGCGCCCCGGCCGUCACCUCCGGCACCGUC